rnacentral:rRNA from 1 species
UGGGGAAUAUUGCACAAUGGAGGGAACUCUGAUGCAGCGACGCCGCGUGAACGAAGAAGGCUUUCCAGUCGUAAAGUUCUUUUAUAUGGGAAGAUAAUGACGGUACCAUAAGAAAAAGCCCCGGCUAACUACGUGCCAGCAGCCGCGGUAUACGUAGGGGGCUAGCGUUGUCCGGAAUCACUGGGCGUAAAGGGUUCGCAGGCGGAAAUGCAAGUCAGGUGUAAAAGGCAGUAGCUUAACUACUGUAAGCAUUUGAAACUGCAUAUCUUGAGAAGAGUAGAGGUAAGUGGAAUUUUUAGUGUAGCGGUGAAAUGCGUAGAUAUUAAAAAGAAUACCGGUGGCGAAGGCGACUUACUGGGCUCAUUCUGACGCUGAGGAACGAAAGCGUGGGUAGCAAACAGG